rnacentral:rRNA from 1 species
UACGUAGGAGGCGAGCGUUGUCCGGAAUCACUGGGUGUAAAGCGCGUGUAGGCGGCCUGCCAAGUCUGCUGUGAAAGCGCCUGGCUUAACCGGGCGAGGUCGGUGGAAACUGGCGGGCUGGAGGUCGGUAGAGGGGGGUGGAAUUCCGGGUGUAGCGGUGGAAUGCGUAGAGAUCCGGAAGAACACCGGUGGCGAAGGCGGCCCGCUGGGCAGGAUGCUGACGCUGAGGCGCGACAGCGUGGGGAGCAAACAGG